rnacentral:rRNA from 1 species
GAUGAACGCUAGCGGCAGGCUUAACACAUGCAAGUCGAGGGGUAGAGGUUGCUUGCAACCUUGAGACCGGCGCACGGGUGCGUAACGCGUAUGCAACCUACCUUUUACAGAGGGAUAGCCCAGAGAAAUUUGGAUUAAUACCUCAUAGUAUAUAACCUUCGCAUGUUGGUUAUAUUAAAGUUCCAACGGUAAAAGAUGGGCAUGCGUCCUAUUAGCUAGAUGGUAAGGUAACGGCUUACCAUGGCAACGAUAGGUAGGGGUCCUGAGAGGGGAGUCCCCCACACGGGUACUGAGACACGGACCAGACUCCUACGGGAGGCAGCAGUGAGGAAUAUUGGACAAUGGGCGCAAGCCUGAUCCAGCCAUGCCGCGUGCAGGAAGAAGCAUCUAUGGUGUGUAAACUGCUUUUGUACAGGAAGAAACACCCCGACGUGUCGGGGCUUGACGGUACUGUAAGAAUAAGGAUCGGCUAACUCCGUGCCAGCCGCCGCGGUAA